rnacentral:rRNA from 1 species
UACAUGGGGUGCAAACGUUGCUCGGAAUUAUUGGGCGUAAAGCGCACGUAGGCGGUUCGUUAAGUCGGAUGUGAAAGCCCUCGGCUCAACCGAGGAAGUGCUUUCGAAACUACUGAACUUGAGUAUGGAAGAGGGUCGCGGAAUUCCCGGUGUAGAGGUGAAAUUCGUAGAUAUCGGGAGGAACACCAGUGGCGAAGGCGGCGACCUGGACGGACAUUGACGCUGAGACGCGAAAGCGUGGGGAGCAAACAGG